GUGCUCGUUUCAGCAGCACACAUACUAAAAUGGGGACGAUAUGGAUUAGCACGGCCCCUGCACAAGGAAGACAGGCAAAAUCAUGAAGCGCUUCAUAAAAAA
ensembl:snRNA U6 U6 spliceosomal RNA